rnacentral:rRNA from 1 species
UGCUUGAGAGUGCUGAGAGUGUCGUUGUAAUUGCAUUCCGCCGGACUGAUAGUCGCUAUCAUGAUGGUCUUGGAGUUGCCGCCCAGGGAAUCCUUCAGUAACCAUGUGAGUACGCUAUCGCGAUAAGGGAUAAACGUGUUGCGUUUCGAGGCGGACGCGUCACCGCUGGCAGAACUGAGCUCAGAGAGUGUGGAUAUCACAGUGCCUAAA